rnacentral:rRNA from 1 species
UGGGGAAUUUUGGACAAUGGGGGAAACCCUGAUCCAGCCAUCCCGCGUGUGCGAUGAAGGCCUUCGGGUUGUAAAGCACUUUUGGCAGGAAAGAAACGUCAUGGGUUAAUACCCCGUGAAACUGACGGUACCUGCAGAAUAAGCACAGGCUAACUACGUGCCAGCAGCCGCGGUAAUACGUAGGGUGCAAGCGUUAAUCGGAAUUACUGGGCGUAAAGCGUGCGCAGGCGGUUCGGAAAGAAAGAUGUGAAAUCCCAGAGCUCAACUUUGGAACUGCAUUUUUAACUACCGGGCUAGAGUGUGUCAGAGGGGGGUGGAAUUCCGCGUGUAGCAGUGAAAUGCGUAGAUAUGCGGAGGAACACCGGUGGCGAAGGCCGCCUCCUGGGAUAACACUGACGCUCAUGCACGAAAGCGUGGGGAGCAAACAGG